GAGGCGGUUGAGGCCCGGCGAGAAUUCGAGCGCUGCGCGGGCGGGCCAGCAGAGUUGGGGGACCCUGCGCACCCUCCGCAGCUGCUGGCCCGGGUGCUAAGCCCCUCACUGCCCAGGCAGGCGGGGCGCCAGCUGGCCGCUCUGAGUGCGGCGCCCGCCGAGCCUACGCCCACCCGGAACUCGCGCUGGCUCGCGAGCGCCGCGCGCUGCCCGGGUUCCCAUCCGCGCCUCUCCCUCCACACCUCCCAGCAAGCAGAGGGAGCCGGCUCUGGCCUCCGCCAGCCCAGAGAGGCUUCCACAGUGCAGCGGCGGGCUGAAGGGCUCCUCAAGCGCGGCCAGAGUGGACGCCGAGGCCGAGGAGGCGCGGAGAGCGAGCGAGGGCUGCUAGCCCAUGCAAUGGACUCCAUGAAGGUUCCUGCUUGAUUUGUGAAACAGCCCAGGAAUAAGGGACAUUCUCCUGGAUCAUUCUGCUUCGUGAGAGGAUGAGGGCUCAGGAAACCACCCUGCUCUGGAUGGGUCAGCUGACACCACCUAGACCAGUAAUCUGGCUCAACCAUUUCUGUCAUGCCACCCAGGAACAGAAGACAUCAAGAAAACCUCACUUUGACCCCUUAUGAUUCCAUCUGCAACCUGACCAAUCAGCAUUCCCUACUUCCCAAUACCCUACCCACCAUAUUAUCAUUUUUUCUUUUUUUUUUUUUUUUUGAGACUGAGUUUCACUCUUGUUGGCCAGGCUGGAGUGCAAUGGUGCAAUGUCAGCUUACUUCAACUUCCGCCUCCUGGAUUCAAGCGAUUCUCCUGCCUCAGCCUCCUGAGUAGGUGAGAUUACAGGUGCUCACCACCACGCCUGGCUACUUUUUUGUGUUUUUAGUAGAGAGGGGGUUUCACCAUGUUGGCCAGGCUGUUCUUGAACUCCUGACCUUAGGUGAUCCACCUGCCUCAGCCUCCCAAAGUGCUGGGAUUACAGGCAUGAGCCACUAUGCCCGGCCCAGAUUAUUUUUAAUAUCUCUGAUCCCCGAA
rnacentral:lncRNA from 1 species